rnacentral:tRNA from 1 species
GAGGGGUUAGCUCAGUGGUAGAGCGUGUGCUUAGCAUGCACGAGGUCCUGGGUUCAAGCCCCAGAACCUCCA